UACAGAGGUCUCAAGCGUUGUUCGGAUUCAUUGGGCGUAAAGGGUGCGUAGGCGGCGCGGUAAGUCGGGUGUGAAAUCUCGGAGCUUAACUCCGAAACUGCAUUCGAUACUGCCGUGCUUGAGGACUGGGAGAGGAGACUGGAAUUUACGGUGUAGCGGUGAAAUGCGUAGAUAUCGUAAGGAAGACCAGUGGCGAAGGCGGGUCUCUGGACAGUUCCUGACGCUGAGGCACGAAGGUCCAGGGGAGGCAAAACGGG
rnacentral:rRNA from 1 species